UACGUAGGGACCGAGCGUUGUCCGGAAUCAUUGGGCGUAAAGAGCGUGUAGGCGGCUAUUUAAGUCCUGCGUGAAAUCCUGCGGCUCAACCGCAGACGGUCGUGGGAAACUGGAUGGCUAGAGUGCGGGAGAGGAGAGUGGAAUUCCCGGUGUAGCGGUGAAAUGCGCAGAUAUCGGGAAGAACACCGGUGGCGAAGGCGGCAUCCUGGACCGACACUGACGCUGAGGCGCGAAAGCUAGGGUAGCAAACGGG
rnacentral:rRNA from 1 species